AAUAGUUUUUGGCUGCUGCGAACUAAAGAAUUCCCCCAUUAUGGGAUAAAUAAUAUAUAUCCUAUAUAUAUGGAAACAGUCCAUUCACGCUUCAAUGCCUCCCAAUUUACAAAAGUGAUCAUUUGAGCCAUUCACCGGCAUUACUGUAUUUAAAAGUUGAGUCGUCGUGUUACUUUUUUUUUAUUUUAUGAUUUUUUUUGACAAAUGGUUUCAAAGUCAAUUUCUUGAAACUCUACACUGACUCAUGCAGACAAGACAGUAAUUUCAAUAAUUCCCCUCCAUGCUAUUACUAUGGGCUCGGGUUACUACAUUAUGCUAAAUGUUUACAAAUGAACCCCAGAGUUGUAUGUCCGUUUAUGAUUGGCUGGCGCGGUGCCAGCGCAUUGUCAGUCACAGGGUGUAAACAAGUCUCUGAUUGGCUGUUGGCCAGUCCGCAUAGGGCUGCCUGAAAAAAAGGAAAAAAAGGCAAUAACUGGCCCCGCGGUUUCAAGGCGUCCCAGGUUAGAUGAUGAAAGGGGAUAAGACGAGGCGGUUUCGAGGCGCCCCAAAGGCGGACCCCUAUUGGCCCUGAAGCCAUAUGAGUCAAGCGUGAAUCAAAGGGAAUGCUGCAGAGAGGGGGAAAUUAUAUGUUGGAUAUUUAAAAUAAUCGAGGUUAGUUUUUGGACGAAUGCGGACCAGCGGUGCCUAAUGAUUAUAAAAAUGACAUGAAAACAAGCGAAACGAGUGAAACAGUCCAGGUUAUAGGCUGCACGUGAGGCUGAGCGGAGGGAAAACAGCCCCGGUCGCGGAUCCCCCUGCCGAAAUCCGCUCUAAUGGAGAAAACCUGCGUGGAGUCUUUCACCAUGUUAAAGUGUGGCUGCAUGAGGUUUGUCGUAGUGCGUUAGUGCGCUGGAAAUAAAGAAAACAGCGUCGUUAGUCUCAAACGUUGACAGCGUUAAUCGGAUAUCGUGGCAUGCCGUUAUGCUGUUGUAAUAAAUGUGGAUUUAACCGGCAAAUGCGCGUUGGGGUGGGAAUACUUCGAUGCAAGCAGGAGAAACGGUCGAUGGGUGCGCGAGGACGAGCCAGAGACCGUCGUGAAUGCGUGCAGACAAAACAUCUCCCCAUUUUUAAAGAGCGAUAAUCCUGCGGCAGAUUAACGUCGAAUUGGAUUUCGGCGUCCCCUCAGUCUGAGCACGUCCUUCACCACAGCUUCCCCGUGUGACAUUUCACAAACCUGCUUUGCUUGAAUACUCACUUGUAGCCUAUUUAAGAAGAAGGUGUUGGAAUUUCAUCUCCUUGUAGCCUCUUCUUAUGAGUGAGUGUGUGCAACGUGAAAGAGGUGGGGAGCUGCACGUACACACACACACACACACACACACACACACACACACACACACACACACACACACACAAUAAUGCGUACGGCAGCAUGCACGCUCACGCUUUACAGACAAAGUGAUAAUUAAUGCGGAGUGGAUGAUUUCUUGAAAAAAAAGUCCAGUUUCGCGACGGGGAUUGUCCUUGAUCAAUGAAGCAUUGAUGACUGACAGUUAGUGCCUCCCACCCACAUCCACAGACGCAGACAGAGCCCUUGGGUAGUAAGUAUAGACAAACUCAUAGACUAUUUCCACGUUAAUUCUUCAGGAUUACCAGCACUGGCGAUCGCCCGCAGCCCCUGACAAAUGGUGCGUGAAUCUUAGGUUCUGGAAACAUUUGGGAUUAUCGUAGAGUCCGUUUGAAACAGACAGUGACCCCGAGAUUUAACUUGUGUGUGGGUAGCUCUAAAUAGAUUUGCUUCUUUAUUUAACUAGCGACGUGCUGGAAAGCUCACAGCAAGAGCUUAAUAAUUAAAAUUCAUCCAAAAUGAGUGAACGCAUCACUGGUUGGGUUUUACGUCUGGCUUGUUCAUGUGAAGUCCUCAAGCUACGGUAUGAAAUACUAUGGAGCUGGUUUGACCUGUAUGUUUGUGUGUGAGUGUGACGCGUGGUCGAAGGGCAGAGGAGUCGACAUUCAUUAUGAACUAAUGUAUCACAUAUGUAAAUAUUUAUUUAAGGUAAAGUACAUAUUUAUACAGUAAUAUUUUGAUUUAUUAUUUUUAAUUGUUGUUCAUUAUCAGUGGAUGGACAUCUGAAAGCUGAGAAGAGGUGUGUGUCUGUGUGCAUGAAUUGCAUUGGCAUAUGGCAUAACCAUAGGCUGGCACUGUAUUUAAAACGGCACCCUAUGGGUCGUCACAUGAAGGCAAGAACCUUGAUCUCCCUGCACCAAAAUAAUGCUAAUUUUACCUCAACACAAUUAUUUUCAUUCUCACCAAGAUCAACUGCUCAUUAAACGGCCGCUAAAUUUAGCCUGUUUAAAUUUUAACACCAGGCCACAGAUAGCACUCGCUGAAAUCCAGCCUCCAUAAUUCACAUCACGUUUCCUCUGACUGAAAACAAAAGAUUGCUUGAUGCACGAUGGCCUGCAGAAAGCAGUGGACACAGGAAAUAUAUAGAGCCACAAAACACACUGUGACCCACAGUUUGGUGCAGCCCAUAGACAAGCUGCCAUAAGCUAAAAUAGGUCAUAUAUGUCUAAUUUUGGUAAUGGAGAAGGCCUUUGUGCUGACCUCCCCAAAAAUGCUCUAUUUUAAGUCAGUGCGUUUACAGGCAGCCUGGUGCUGAAGGAUACUGGACGCUUGUCCAUAUAAAUGGAGGCUUUCUUUCCCAGCAGAACAAGCCCACAGUCCCAUCACAUCUCAGGCACGUUCACCCCUUCUUUACCUUCUGACAUCACAUCCCAUUCACCUCACUGGGGAUUACAGGAGGGACGGCCUGUUUCCCCUGUUUUCCCAUUGGGCCACGGUGGGAAGGACAACACGUGUAAAAUCCAUCACCGGAGGGCGCCGGCCCAAUUCCAUGCUUUGACAAUGGACAAAGUUUUCAGACGUGACGUCCGGGUUUGUAUCCUCAUGAAAGACAGAUAUUGCAUGGAUGCGUUAAUUGAUGUUAAGUUGACGCUGUAUUAUAAGGAAUCUUUGUUGCGUAACACAGCUGCUGAAGGUCUAGCAACAAGAAUUAUUGAACUGUUCUACAACAUCUGCAUUGAAGGAAGAUACUGAAAGGGGGGAGGGGGUUGUUUAUGAUGAUGGUCAUGUAACCAAGAUGGCUGUUGUCAAUAAAAAAGCUUUUGUUUGAAGAGAA